AACGUAGGUGGCGAGCGUUAUCCGGAUUUACUGGGCGUAAAGCGUGUGCAGGCGGGGAGACAAGUGGUGUAUGAAAUUUCCCGGCUUAACCGGGAAGGGUUAUGCCAGACUGUCUUUCUGGAGUGCGAGAGAGGGGCGUGGAAUUCCGGGUGUAGUGGUGAAAUGCGUAGAGAUCCGGAAGAACACCGGUGGCGAAGGCGGUCUGCUGGGGUCGAACUGACGCUGAGGCGCGACAGCGUGGGGAGCAAACAGG
rnacentral:rRNA from 1 species